rnacentral:lncRNA from 10 species
AGUUUAAUCAGCGGUAUCGUUUUUGAGAGGAAAAUCCUCCCAGCUUUGCGGGCUGGCAGGGCUCUGGGGCCCUCCCCUGCCUCCCAGCCCAGGCCGCAGAGCGAGAGCGUUUCCAUCUGUGCUGCGAGCGGGAAGAGCCUCUCUGUGCUCCCCGGCACGUCCAGCGCGCGGGCGGGAACACGCUCUCCUGUGGGGGGCAGCUUUCCCAGGGACCUUGCCUAACGAGGGCCAGGCGGCUCCCCCGUGGGCCCCGAAUGGCUCCUGGCAGGCAGACCCCUAUCCCUGUCGAGAGCACUGAUUUCCCCAGCGUCGGGGGAGGCAGCCGCGCCCUCCUGGAGCGAGGCAAUCCAGCGGUCAGGCGGCGGCGAGGGCCUGCGCGUGCGCAGAAAAGAGCUGCCUCCGCGCCAGGCAAGGGGCGCGAGGGCGGAGGAUGGAGGGCGAGGGCGCAUGCGUCAGCCGUGCCGCUGGGGCCGCGUAGGAGAGCUGAGCUGCUGGGUCCUGCCGUCAGUGCAGUUUCUUGGCAGCACGUUGGGGACACUGCGCCAUGAGAACAGAGCCACAGAAUGUUAAAGGCACAGCCUCCUUCGAGGGCAUUUGCAUAAUGCCUCCCGUUUACAGAUGAGGAAAUUGAGGCCCAAAGAGGUGAUGGGAAAGGCCCAAAGCUGCAUUUCUGGCUUCUGGCAGCUGGGACCAGAUCCAGCUCGUAUUGACAUGGUUUAAGCACUUCUUCAAUGAGCACUUAUCAAAAGCCUAGAUACUGUGUACUCAGUGUCUUGAGUGGCAGCGAAAGAUAACCACGAAUACGUCAGAAGCAGUGUAGCCACGGCUGCCCUGGAUUUGGGCAUAGAAUCAGACAGACCUGGGUUUGAUAUGAUGAUUUCCAGAACCACACUACUAGUUGGAUGGCCUUAGUGAAGCAGUUAACCGCUCCAUGCCCUAGCUUUCUGGUCUGCAAAACGGAGAUAAAAAUAGGCUAGGGUCGUGGGAUUUAAAUGAGAUAAGGUGCACAUUGUUUAGCACAGUGCCUGCGCAUGGAAGGCUCUCAAAUAAAUAUUCGUGCAAUGUUUUGAGAAGUAGAAAGUGCUAGGCACGUAGGCGUUCAGGAGACAGUCACGGUACUCGUUUCCAGACAGAAGUCAUGAGGAACAAGAGGGAAGGUGCUUUCCCGUGUGCAGCGCUUGGGGAGACUCACACAGACAGAGGAUCUGGCAUGACAGGGAAAGGAGGAAAUGGCUUCUGUUAAUCUCUCCUUCAGCUUCUCCCGCCCUUCCCAUGCACUCUUCCUGUUUCCCUUUCCAGUUCUCACGGUGACUCAAGGUAGGUGGCUGCAGAGAGACAUUGGGACCUCUUACCAGGGAAAAUAUGUUCUGUAAUCUGGCAUAAUUUAAGUUUUAAGUCCCAUUUUAUCAUAGGGGUUCCCCUCCCCUUUACCUAGGUGUGAUAGGCACAAGAAAAAGGAAUGGAGUUAAGUGGAUAAGUGACUAAGGUGUCACAUUGGAGUAGUGUGGAUCAUAGAUCUCAGAGCUGAAGAUCAUCUAGGUGGACUCCCUCAUAUUAAAGAAGAAGCAGUGAAAAACUGUGAAAGGCAAAAUGACAUCAAGUUUCAGACUCAAGUUGGAGCCAUGGUGUUCUGUAGCACCAUAGUUCAUUCAUCCACUCAUACACACUACUCUGGGUGGAUAUCUGAUAUACUGCCAGGUACAAGGUUCUGCCUCAGUAGGCAGGGAAAGGGGAAAGGAAAUAGAAAUCCGGGAGGAUUCUCGGGUUCUUUGUGCAGCUUCAUGGAUGUUGAUACCAUUUACUGUGAUUGCAAGUAGAGGAACAGAAAUGGACCUGAGAGGAAGAUGGCAUGUUUUGAACAUGGGUUUGAGGUGGCUGUAGGACAUCCAGGUGGAGACCUCCAGGAAGAGUUAGGAACAUGAGUUCCAAGCACAGGAGAGAGGCCUGGAGGUGCCCACUGGGGAACAGUCAACUUAAAGAUGGUCACUGAAGCCAAGGCAGGGCUGGGAUGGCCCAGAAGAGCAGGCAGAAUGAAAAGACUAUGAAAGCAUGAAACCCAAACCUGACAGAUACCAGAUCCUAAGGAUCAAAUAAGAGAUCCUGAGGAACAGAUGGAGAAAUGGAAAGAAAACCAGAAAAAAGUGGCAUCAAGCAGUUCACAUCAAGACUCUCCAGGUUGAAGACGUAGUCAGGAGUGGGAAAUGCCACCGAGAUGUGAAGCAAAUGAGCACCGGAAUAUGUCUGUUGUAUUUGACAAUGAGGAAGUCAUUGAUUACUUGUGAGACAUUGGUUUUAGUGGGGAUGUGAGGGCAGAAACAAAAUCACAC